ACCGUUUUUAUAAUUGGUUACGAUAAAAUGUUCUAUUUAUUUAAUCAUAAGGAAAUUAAAGAUCAGUCUACACGAAACUGUUGUUAAAACAAAAACCCUAAAACAAUACAGAAAAUGUCAAAAUUAAUUAUUGUUCUGUUAGUAGUUGCCGUCAUUGGAGUUGUGUGUGCUCGGCCCCUGGCUUUCCCCAACGACGAUGGAAGCCAAGUUAAUGUCGCGGAGGGCGGUGAGAGUGUUCACAUUGUGGAUGGAGGUGAAAAUGUAAAUGUUGUGGACAACGGCAGUGACGUUCAAGUAGUGGAUGGACCCAACCCUGCGGGUCCUCGGAGUGAUUAAAUAAUUGUAAAUAAAAGCUUGUAUAAUGCAAUUUAUUAUGUAAUGUAAAUACACACUAAUGCUUGUUA